GAAAUGCUUUGUAAAAAAAAACCACUCUCUCUCUCUCCCACUCCGGUCUCUCCCUCUCCCACUCAAUUCCCCAUUCCCCCACCGCGUUUCCUCCAACCACCAGGGACGGCGAGGGCAAGCUCUGGAGUGGGUGACCACGGCCAGGUGCCAGACGAGCUCCGCGACGGGGCAUCGCGGGCAAGCUCCUCGAGGGGCUGCGAGGGCGAGCUCGGCCAUGGCACGGAGCGGGCGAGCCAGCUAGGGGCGGCGCGGGAGAGAUCCUCCAGGGGCGGCACGGGCGAGGUACGCCAUAGCCGGCGCGGGCGACCACGGCGAGAUGCUGGCGCCGACGAGCUCCGCGAUGGGGCGGCGCGGGCGAGCUCCUCGAGGGGCGGCGAAGGCGAGCUCGGCCAUGGCGCGGCUGGGCAAGCUCUAGCCAGGGGCGGCCGCGGGCGUGAGCAAGUACGAACAGUUCCCUCCGGCGAAAUUUCCCAUCCAGCCAUGGUGUAUGCGCGUGCAUUGUGUUCAGGUUUUAUGGAUUGGGAAGUGUCUGAAGGUUUAGUUAUUGAAUCCAUUAACAGUUUUGCUUCAUAGCUCUGCAGCCUCUUCAUUGGAAUGCAUGAUACAUACUCCAUGUUAGCUGGUUGGUCCAUAUUAGCUGGUUGGUUCAUGACAAGGAAGUGCAUUGAUUUCUUUGUUCUCU